AAAUUGAAGAGUUUGAUCAUGGCUCAGAUUGAACGCUGGCGGCAGGCCUAACACAUGCAAGUCGAACGGUAACAGAAAGCAGCUUGCUGCUUUGCUGACGAGUGGCGGACGGGUGAGUAAUGUCUGGGAAACUGCCUGAUGGAGGGGGAUAACUACUGGAAACGGUAGCUAAUACCGCAUAAUGUCGCAAGACCAAAGAGGGGGACCUUCGGGCCUCUUGCCAUCGGAUGUGCCCAGAUGGGAUUAGCUAGUAGGUGGGGUAACGGCUCACCUAGGCGACGAUCCCUAGCUGGUCUGAGAGGAUGACCAGCCACACUGGAACUGAGACACGGUCCAGACUCCUACGGGAGGCAGCAGUGGGGAAUAUUGCACAAUGGGCGCAAGCCUGAUGCAGCCAUGCCGCGUGUAUGAAGAAGGCCUUCGGGUUGUAAAGUACUUUCAGCGGGGAGGAAGGGAGUAAAGUUAAUACCUUUGCUCAUUGACGUUACCC
rnacentral:rRNA from 1 species